CUUUCAUUCAUUUUGAUAACUUCCUCAUUUGUAAAAUGGGAACAAUAAUAACCCUUAUCUCAAAGGGUAUUUGUAAGACUUAAAUGACUUAAAAUAUAUAAAGUGCUUAGGGCAGUUCUUAAUGUAAUAAUUGUUAGCCUUUAUCAUCAUGAUAAUCAUUUGCUGCUCUCAUGAAGAGAAACAUAAUGUAACUUUAUUGAAGCAAUUUUACACUAGGUUCAAAACACUGCUGUAGAUGUGUUUACAUUUUGCUGGAGAGACACUGCCGUUUUGCAUUGUGAAGGCGUUGCUUGAUAAUGAUGAUUGAUAUCAUUUCUUGCGUGUUUUUUAAACAGAGUAUAAAUGAGGACCACUCAGUUAACCGUGUCAAGCCCACUGUUUAAGAACAAUGCGAGGGCCAGAAUAUACCAGGCAGAUACUGCGUAAAAGUGAAAAGAGAAAUCUCAACAGAAACAGUGCUCUCUAGGAUGAAUAGAGCAUGUUUUCCUGGCAGCUGGGUCCUGACGUUUUAAUCCAUUUGGCGAGCCCACCGCAGUGGCCCAGACUCUGUCUGUGGCUCUAGCCCUGCUCCCCAAGAUUCUAGGCUCCUUGUGGCCUGUGGUUCUGCAACUCAGCUGGUCGGGAGGGCAGGAAGGAAGGGUGGACCCGCUUGACAUUUCCUGUCUUGCUGUGAGUCACUGAUACCAAGUACUUUUCUUGCACUUCUCUGCCUACUAUCCGGAGAGCAGGAAUGCGGCCACAGAAGUCAAACCGGAACCAUCCUCUGCGUCAUGAUAACGGCUCUCACGCGGUAAACUAGUGUGGUCUGCACCGAUAUCAGGGGGCACACCCUCCCUGUGCAGGCAAGGAACUGAAGGAUGGGCUCGCCAUUACAUUAUCCUUUGUGAGAAGAGGAUGGUGACACUUAGGAGAAAGAAAAUCCUCCUGUAUCACUUUGGUGCAGUGGAAAGGAGUCUCAUUUUGGAGAAGGAAGACAAAAUUUCCAGUUCUGACUCGGCUGGGAAAGAUUGUAAGCCCGUCUCACACCUGCUUCCCUUCUACUCCCUGCCUGCCUGCCUGCAUUGCCAACAAACUGAAGUUGAAUAUGGGGUUUUAAGAUUCCUAAGACAUGCAGAGGGGGCUUGAAAAUUACUCAGAGGAGGACAUAUGAAGACAGAGGCACAGAUUGGAGUGAAGAAGCCACAAGCCAAAGAAUGCCUGUAGCCACCAGAAGCUGGAAAAGGCAGAGAUUUCCCUCUGGAGCCUCCAGAGGAAGUGCAGCCCUGUGACACGUUGAUUUUGGCCCAGUGAUGUCAGUUUUUGAACUUCUAGCCUCCAGAACUGUAAGAGAAUGAAUUUCUGUUGUUUUAAGCCACCCAGUUUUGGUAAUUGGUUAUAGCAGCCACAGGAAUCUAAAACAUACAGACUUUUACAGUGGCAAAUUUUCACCCCAUCUCUUUAAUGUUGCAGGUAGUUCUGAUGUUUUCACAAAAAACCCUGGAGAGGAAUAGUCCUAUGAGUUGAACUACAAGAAUUCUAUAUAUAGGGAGAUAUAAAGAACUAGAAAAGGAAUGUUGCUGACAUGAUGAUUCAAUAGAAAUGGUAUCCAAUUGCAUAAGCUAUUGCAUUAGCCUUUAAGGUUUCUGUAAGGCCAAGAAGAAACUUCAUAAAUGUUAGAGAAAUAAACACCGAUUUGAGUAUUUUAAUCUUCUUCCCUUUAAUUACUUAAAAAAUUAUUUUUCAAACUAUAAGGAUAGCAUAAUCACAUUGAGUAACCUUUGCAAAAUAGGCAGGAACAAAGUCACAUAAAAUCCUCAAUACAAUUGUCAUCACUUUGUUACAAUCGCUUGCAUUCACUUUCUCCUUUUAAAUGGUAGUAGUCAUUUAAUGCCUACACUAUUGUAUACUGAAUUUUUUCACUUAAUAAAUAUGCAACUUUUGCUAUUGUUACUUAGUCUUUAUAACUGUUUUUUUUAAAAGAUAAAACAGUUUUAAAGAUAAAACUGAGCACGGGCUCAGUAGCUGUGGCUCACGGGCUUAGUUGCUCUGCGGCAUGUGGGAUCUUCCUGGACCAGGGAUUGAACCCAUGUCCCCUGCAUUGGCAGGUGGAUUCUUAACCACUGCGCCACCAAGGAAGCCCAGGGCUGGAUAAUUCUUUGUUGUUGGGGGCUGUCCUAUGCAAUGGAGAAUGUUUAGCAGCAUCCUGGUUUCUAUUCCACUUGAUGCCGUAGCUUUCCCCUCACACAGCUGUGACAACCAAAAAUGUUUCCAGACAUUGCCAAAUGUGACCUGGCAGGCAAAAUAUCACCUUGUUGAUAAUCAUUGUCAUAGAAGCUAAGUUCAAUCAUUGGACAAUCCAAUACUAAAAUCCAAGUUUGGUGCUUUUUAUCAACUUUUAAUGGUCUUGUUCCACCAUUUCUAUGGAAACUUUUGAACUCAUGAUAGUAAGAUGACUGCUGCAUCUCCAAGUGUCACAUAUACAUUUCUGGCAGGAGAAGAUGAUUAACAAAUAAUGAGAGGCAAGAACACUCCUCCCAAAGAGGCCAUCUUUUUAUUGAGAAGGGAUGCCCUCCCUAGUGACUCUACCUACAUAUUAUUGGUCAGAAGUGUAUCACACGGCCACCUCUAGUCAUGGUAAAAGCUAGGAGUUCAAAUUAUUGGCUUUAACAGCGUCUAUAAUAGAGCAGGAGGAAGGAUAUAUGUGAAUGUUUUUUGAAUAGCCCGUCCAUAACAUUUGCUAAAUUUCCCAUUCUAGUUCACUUACUUCCCUGUGGCAGAUGGGAUGGGCAAGAAUUUGGAAGUUGCUCAAGAUGUUUAGUCAUAUAUAUGUGAAGUCUUGCUGUGCUGUGAGUUAUUAUCUAGAAAGUGCUUCAUGAAAUCCUUUCCAGCUGAUUGAUUUGGUGAUUUUUUAAAAAUUCUGUUUUCUCUGAAUUAGGAAAGUGUAUUCAUUCAUGGACAAGUAGUGUCAUUGAAAGGACCCAGUUAAUUUCAGCUAGAAAGGUCACUACUUCAAACCAGCAGUGCUUUUACCAGUUGUAAUAAACAUGCCUGUCAAUUCAUAUCACCCACAGGCCAAUGUUUAGAAGACCCAUAUUGGUUUCAUUUCCCAUCCAGCAAUAUUCAGCAGUGUCCCAAAGUGCUAGGUGCCAGCGGCAUCUGAAGAUGUAGAGGACGUGGAUACAUCAGACAUAUAAUAAGGACACAAUACAAGCAGCAGAACAAAUCACUACCUAAAAGCAGAACUGUCUGCUUAUAUCCCAAGUAGCUGAGAAAUUUUAAUUAUGCACUUUUCAAUUUUUCCAUUCAAAGAAACAUGCCCCUACCCAAGUGCUGGGGUUGAACUGUAUCUCCCCAAAAGAUAUAUUGAAGUCCUAGCCCUGAGUAUCUGUGACCUUAUUUUGAAAUAGUGUCUUUGCAGAUGUAAUCAAGUGAAUAUGGGGUCACUAGGGUGGGCCCUAAUCCAUUAUGACUGCUGUCCUUCUAAGAGAAGAGACGUAAAGACAUCUAAGGAGAAAACCAUGUGACACCCAGGCAGGAACUGGACUCAUGAGUGAUAAGCCGAGAAACACCAAGGAUUGUUGGAAAUACCAGCAGCUAAGAGAAAGGCAUGGAAAAGAUUCUCCCUUAGAGCCUUCAGAGAGAGCAUGGCCCUGAAGACACCUUGAUUUCAGACUUCUAGCCUCCAAAACUGUUUGAGAGAAUAAACUUCUGUUGUUCAAAGCUG